rnacentral:rRNA from 1 species
AACGCGAAGAACCUUACCAGGCCUUGACAUGGGUAGUAUGGUUUCCCGAAAAGGAAACCUUCAGUUUGGCUGGCUACCACACAGGUGCUGCAUGGCUGUCGUCAGCUCGUGUCGUGAGAUGUUGGGUUAAGUCCCGCAACGAGCGCAACCCUCAUCCUUAGUUGCCAACACGUAAUGGUGGGAACUCUAAGGAAACUGCCGGUGAUAAGCCGGAGGAAGGUGGGGAUGACGUCAAGUCUUCAUGGCCCUUACGGCCUGGGCCACACACGUGCUACAAUGGCGGUGACAAUGGGCAGCCAACCCGCAAGGGUGCGCUAAUCUCAAAAAGCCGUCUCAGUUCGGAUUGCACUCUGCAACUCGAGUGCAUGAAGCUGGAAUCGCUAGUAAUCGUAGAUCAGCACGCUACGGUGAAUACGUUCCCGGGCCUUGUACACACCGCGCAUA